CGGCGGCCGUAACUAUAACGGUCCUAAGGUAGCGAAAUUCCUUGUCGGGUAAGUUCCGACCUGCACGAAUGGCGUAACGAUCUCCACACUGUCUCGGCCAGAGACUCGGUGAAAUUGCAGUCGCGGUGAAAAUUCCGUGUACCCGCAGAAAGACGGAAAGACCCUGUGCACCUUUACUAUAGCUUGACAUUGGAUUUUGGGCCUGCAUGUGUAGGAUAGGUGGGAGGCUGUGAACCCUGUACGCCAGUAUGGGGGGAGCCAUCCUUGAAAUACCACCCUUGCAUGUUUAAGAUCCUAACUUCUUCCGGUUAUCCCGGAGAAAGACAGUGUCUGGCGGGUAGUUUGACUGGGGCGGUCGCCUCCUAAAGUGUAACGGAGGCAUGCAAAGGUUCCCUCAGCCUGAUCGGAAACCAGGCGCUGAGUGCAAACGCAUAAGGGAGCUUGACUGUAAGAGAGACAUCUCGAACAGGAACGAAAGUUGGCGUUAGUGAUCCGGUGGUCCCGAAUGGAAGGGCCAUCGCUCAUUGGAUAAAAGGUACGCCGGGGAUAACAGGCUGAUCGCAUCCAAGAGUUCACAUCGACGAUGCGGUUUGGCACCUCGAUGUCGGCUCAUCACAUCCUGGGGCUGAAGCAGGUCCCAAGGGUACGGCUGUUCGCCGUUUAAAGUGGUACGCGAGCUGGGUUUAAAACGUCGUGAGACAGUUUGGUCCCUAUCUUCUGUGGGCGAAGGAGAAUUGAGAGGGCCUGUCCCUAGUACGAGAGGACCGGGAUGGACGCACCCCUGGUGAUCCUGUUGUCGCGCCAGCGGCAUAGCAGGGUAGCUAUGUGCGGAAGGGAUAACCGCUGAAAGCAUCUAAGCGGGAAGCCUGCUCCAAGAUAAGCAUUCCGUGGAACCUUCGAGUUCCUGUAGUCCCCAUGCAGAACACGUGGUCGAUAGGCCGGACGUGGAAGCCCCGCGAGGGGUGGAGCCGACCGGUACUAACGGACGAAAGGCAACACUAA
rnacentral:rRNA from 1 species